rnacentral:rRNA from 1 species
UUGAUCCUGGCUCAGAUUGAACGCUGGCGGCAGGCUUAACACAUGCAAGUCGAGCGGAGAGAGGUAGCUUGCUACUGAUCUUAGCGGCGGACGGGUGAGUAAUACUUAGGAAUCUGGCUAUUAGUGGGGGACAACAUUUCGAAAGGGAUGCUAAUACCGCAUACGUCCUACGGGAGAAAGCAGGGGAUCUUCGGACCUUGCGCUAAUAGAUGAGCCUAAGUCGGAUUAGCUAGUUGGUGGGGUAAAGGCCUACCAAGGCGACGAUCUGUAGCGGGUCUGAGAGGAUGAUCCGCCACACUGGGACUGAGACACGGCCCAGACUCCUACGGGAGGCAGCAGUGGGGAAUAUUGGACAAUGGGGGGAACCCUGAUCCAGCCAUGCCGCGUGUGUGAAGAAGGCCUUAUGGUUGUAAAGCACUUUAAGCGAGGAGGAGGGUACUGGUAUUAAUACUACCAGGUACUGGACGUUACUCGCAGAAUAAGCACCGGCUAACUCUGUGCCAGCAGCCGCGGUAAUACAGAGGGUGCGAGCGUUAAUCGGAUUUACUGGGCGUAAAGCGUGCGUAGGCGGCUGAUUGAGUCGGAUGUGAAAUC